AAAUGGGUUUUGAAAGCUUCAUAUUUUCAGCAACUUUGAGGCUUAGCAAGUAAGUGAUUUUAAUGUCUUUCUUGAAGAUUUUUACAUUUUUGUAACCCCUAAAGCAUGAGCUUUCAUAAGAGGGGACUAUUGUGCAAAAUGAUGAAGAGUCUAGGGUUUUUCCAUGAGAGUAAAUGUGUUGUUUGUUGUGUUUUUAUGGAAGAUUAUGAGUUCUAGUUGUCUAAUAAACAACUUUUGUGAAAGAAAUUGCAUGAAAACACCUUAAAAGGGGCUAGAUUGCUAAGUUGUAAAAUGAGUUGUAAAAUGUGUGAAAUAGUUGAAAUUAUGAGUUGCUAUAGUUAUAAAAAUGGUUCAUCUAGACUCAAAGAGUAAAGAAAUGUGAUAAAAAUUAUUUUACGAGCCUAGGGGUAAUUUGGCAAUUUUGGUAAAAUAUAGGGGCAAAAUUGUAAAAAUAGCCCAAGUGCGUCAAUGGACUAAUUUGAUCUGUACAUUGUUUUAAUAAGUUGAAUGUGAUGUUUUAGAUGAUGAAUAUCGAGAUUUGGACCUAGGACGGAAAGAAAUUGAUUAAGGGAUAAUUACGUCUUUUUUUUACCUUUGUGGUAUUGAGGUAAGUUCGUAUGUAAACAAUACCAUGUUAUACAUGUAUUUAAAUGUUAUCAUUACAUGAAUUGUACAAAUACUAAUGUGUAUGUGAUUAAUAGAAAUAUGAUAAGACAAAGCCUUAAUAGACGAGGAAAAAUCCCGUUUGAACAUUUGGAAUAGAAUAGGAUACGAGUGACAUGUCUCUAGGAAUUAUGAGUCUAGAUGACUAGCUCGAGAGUGAGCAUUGAAAUGUCAUGAGAUAUGAGGUAGCUUUACCUACAAUUGAGGCACUUAUGUGCAAAGGCUUUUCCGAGUAUCCAAUUAGUAUUCCAAGUGUUCAACGGGUAAUCCAAGGAAAGAGUUGAUGAUGGUCCCAAUGAGGUAAGUCAUUGGUGAGUAUGCACUUGAGUUAUGUUACGAGUUGUGCAAGUAUGUAUACUAAGCCUAUGAGAAUGCCUUGAUAUGUGAUGAUCUAUGAUGCAUAAUAUGUGUUCUUACCAUGAUGGAUGAAAUGAUGUUGUAUUAAUUUUGUGAACAAUGAUCAUGAAUGAGUAACUUAGCCUUGACAGAUUUGAGUUACGGCAGUAGUGUAACUUUGAAAAUACACUAAAAAUAGUGAAAAAUGAGUUAGAGGUAGAAUAAAGUAUGGGAUUAAAUCUUAAUGAGUCUAUUUUCACAUGAAAGAAAUAGGGGAAGAAAAAGAAUUCUAUAUUGUGUGAUAUUUGAAUUCUUGUAAAACAGGGUCUGAAUGAAUUUGAGAUCCCCUAUUCUGAUUUUAUAAAUUCACCAUAAAUUGUAAAAAAAUUAUUAAGAGUCAUACCUUACAUGCAUAGAUUCCUUAUUGAGUCUAUUUUUACGGGAAACAAACGGCAUGGUCAUUGGAAUUCUGUAUAGGGAGAAAUUUGGUUCGUAGUGUACAGGGGUCAGAGUAGUCAUACCCUGAAACAUGGAAUACUUUAACUAAUAAACUGUACUAAAUGGAUCGACCAAAAAUUUUGAAAAUUUUAUGGAAGAAAGAUAAACGAGUCUAAUUUCAGGGAAAAUUUAUGGAACUUAAUUCGGAGUUUCGUAGCUCCAGAUAUAAAUAAUUCAGUGACUGUUGUGUAGGAAGACAGCUUGUCGUAAACUUGAGAAUAUGUUGUAAACAUUGAUAAAACAAGUUAAUGAGUUGCUUAUUGUUUUCAUAUGAACUUACUAAGCGAAAGCUUACCCCCUUCUUUUCCAUGUUCUCUAGGGUUUCCAGGUUUGUUCGGGUUGGAGUUCGUCGGAGAUAUUAUUACACUGUCAAGCUAACGCUAUCGGUGUAGUGAUUUCAAGUACUUUGAGUCUAUGGCAUGUAUAGGAGUUUAAAUAUUAGAGUAUGUGAUAUGGAUUUGACCAUAUGUGUUGGCCUAUUUUGAUUAUGGGAUUAUAAAUUCAUUUUAAUUAUUUGAGAUUUCAUGACCCUAUUUAGUAUAGAAGUGUUA
rnacentral:lncRNA from 1 species